UACGUAGGGUGCAAGCGCUGUCCGGAAUUAUUGGGCGUAAAGAGCUCGUAGGCGGUUUGUCGCGUCUGCUGUGAAAUCCCGAGGCUCAACCUCGGGUCUGCAGUGGGUACGGGCAGACUAGAGUGCGGUAGGGGAGAUUGGAAUUCCUGGUGUAGCGGUGGAAUGCGCAGAUAUCAGGAGGAACACCGAUGGCGAAGGCAGAUCUCUGGGCCGUAACUGACGCUGAGGAGCGAAAGCAUGGGGAGCGAACAGG
rnacentral:rRNA from 1 species